rnacentral:rRNA from 1 species
AGGAUUCCCCUAGUAACGGCGAGUGAAGAGGGAAAAGCCCAGCACCGAAGCCUGCGGCAGGUUUGCUGUUAGGCAAUGUGGUGUUUGGGUCGGCUCGUGGGACCACCACUCCACUCGAAGUCCAGCAUUGAGUAUGGUUACUGGAUUUGGCCCAGAGAGGGUGAAAGGCCCGUACGGUGGAGUGUCAGACAUGUGAGGUGGUUCACCAGGUCGACCUUAGAGUCGGGUUGUUUGGGAAUGCAGCCCAAAGUGGGUGGUAAACUCCAUCCAAGGCUAAAUACAAGCACGAGUCCGAUAGCGAACAAGUACCGUGAGGGAAAGUUGAAAAGUACUCUGAAGAGAGAGUAAACAGUACGUGAAACCGCAUGCAGGUAAACGGGUGGCGUCAAGCUGCAAGCCCGGAGAAUUCAGUCGGCUAGGUUGUUGUGUAUGCGCCUGGCGCAUCUAUCAGUCAGAGUAUGAUUGGGUAGUCCGCUAGUAAAUGGUGGGCCUGUCCGCAAGGCAGGAUAUGUGUACCGGGUGGGUGCCGGAGCAUGCUAUCCGUCUGUGGACUGUCUAGCCGGUGCACUUUCUCCGUGGUCAACACCACGACCGGUGGUAUUGCCAGUCUGCUGCGUCCAAGUCGCAUUUGGUAGGUCCUUGUGGCCAACCGAGUGCGAUCACAGGCAAACUCAGUAAACGGCGUGAGGGUGCUUCGGUACUUUCAUGUGUUAUCGGCUACUGGUUGUCAACGGGCCUGCUCUGUGUUUGUUGUAAUCGACAUGGGGUGGUCCGGUGGGGCAUGGUGGUAAGAAAUAACUGUGCAAGGCACUGGGGUUAUCGGCCUCAAAUGCGUCCUGCGUCCACGUUACAAGUGUAGGUACUGUGUUGCCGCUGCUUGCUCGCUGCCGGGUGUGAUUCGCGUGGUCCUGUGCAAAGUAGGCCCGCCAAUGGCUCGGUACGAGGUGGGUAGUUGGUGGCGUUGUCGAUGGCGUGGGGCGCGGUGGGCCUAAUAGUCAGUGGU